CGUUCCACCGCCCGGCGCCGGGGCAGCUGCCGCGGCCGCGCUGCCGUGAGGACUGCACCCGCGGGGACAUCUUCCUGGGCGUGGAGCGCAUCCACCGGCAGCGCCGGAACUCGGGCGAGGACUUGGACGCCGUCCUGGCGAGUCAGGUGGCUCCUUCGUUGAGCAGAUCUGUGUCCUACAAGGCUACAUAGAAGGGUGGAAAAAAGGAACAUGGGAAGAAAAAAUUGAUGAAAGGCCAUGAAUUGAUCAGCUUAUGUACUCCAAAGAAAAACAGGGCUAUUACAGGGGACGGGUCUGGGGUUAUGAGGAAACGCAAGGCCUAAAUGUCUCCUGUUUGUCUGUCCAAGGAUCUGCCUCUAUUGUGGCUCCCAUCCCUUUGAAGAACACUUCAGCGCAAAUCACCUCCCUGGACCUGCUGCUCAUGCCGUUUCUGAUACAAGCCAAGAUGCCAUUGGCCACCUGGCACUUAAGAUCACCUGUUCCAUGACUUUCCCUGGCACUAAGGUCAGACUGACAGGCCUGUAGUUUCCUGGGCCCUCCCUCAGACCCUUCUUGAAGAUGGGUAUCACAUCAGCCAGCCUCCAGUCAAGCGGAACCUCCCCAGUCAGCCGGGACUGCUGGAAGAUGAUGGAAAGGGGUUUGGCAAGCACGUCUGCCAGCUCCCUCAAUACUCUUGGAUGGAUCCCAUCUGCCCCCCCCCCAGACUUGUGAGUGUCUAAUUGGGCAAGUAAGUCUCUAACCACCUCCUCUUGGAACAUGGGAGCUUUGUUCUGCUCCUCUAACUCCUGGGUAUGUUCACACAGGCAACAACUUUCCUUACUACUAAAGACUGAGGCAAAGAAGGCAUUAAGUACCUCAGCCUUGUCCUCAUCCUUUGUCACAGUUGUUCCCUUUGCAUCCAAUAAGGACUGAACAUUCUUUCUGGUUCUCCUUUUAUUGUUAAUGUAUUCAUUCCUGGGCUGCAUUCUAAAAUGAUGGAGGCCCAUUGGGGUAUUGCAGCAUGAAAUGGAAACAAUACUUGAAGUUGUUUUGCUCGGCGCAGCUGUAGGCUUCCUCACGAUAUGGAAACAGGAAGGCCAGAAUAAAAGCAGCAGAAGGAAGAACUGAAACAGUAAAGCUGCUUGUAAUACAUGGUGGAAGAAGGUGGGAGACUGAGGUGUUGCCCUGCUGGGAAGGGGCAGCAGCUGGAGAAUGCGUCUGCCGGCGGGUUCGGUGCCUGGGCGGAGGAGUGGAA